rnacentral:lncRNA from 1 species
GGCCGUAAAAGCCUGUACCCACCAUCCCCGGGCCUGCCAGGGGCGGCUUUGCAGGAUUCUUCCAGCCGCGGGGGACGGGGACGGGGACGGGGACGGGGCGGGGUCCCAGGCCCAUGCCAUCCACCUGCCAAGCCGCCGGGUCCCGGGAGGCGUUUCCCCUCCCCUCGGCCCGCUGCCUGACCUUCGAGCCGCCUGAGAAAUCUCCAGCCUGGCGAGUGCCCGAGCCAGGCCGGCCUCCCCGCCCCCUCCCUGGAAAGGAAAGGCCCCAGCGACAACAGAGCCAGACCCGCUCCUCCCGAUCUCCCAGAAGGCGACUGACAGCUGACUGCCAGAAGGAGAUCGCGCCAGGAGACUGACUGCUCUGUGCCCACCCGGGGACCCGGGCCCGUUCAGCCGGGCUGACUGGUGCGCCCUCUGCAAAGCCUGCGCCAGGGAGGAGGCAGGCUCAACCUUCAGAUUCCCAGGGCCUCUCUGUCGCUGUCGCCGUCGCCGUCGCCCGAGGUCCCAGCGGCUCUACCAGAUUGUUGUGGAGGCCUCUCACCCGCACAGAUCUCCCCUGCGACCAUGUCUUCCAUUAAGAUUGAGUGUGUUUUGCCAGAGAACUGCCGGUGUGGUGAGUCUCCAGUAUGGGAGGAAGCGUCCAACUCUCUGCUCUUUGUAGACAU